rnacentral:tRNA from 1 species
GCCUGGCUGGCUCAGUCGGUAGAGCAUGUGACUCUUGAUCUCAGGGUCAUGAGUUUGAACCCCUUGUUGGGUG